UGAAGUUUCCUUUCAGAACUGAAAAAAACUUUGUGGCAUGCAAAAAGGGAAAAUACAGAAGUCUUACUUAUACUUUUGUCCUUUGCCAUGGACAGAGACUUGGCUUCUUCUUGGGCUAUGAAAUGAUCUUAUAUGUCUCUACUAGAUGUCUAAUAUACAUAGACAUCCCUAAUCCAACCAACGAGGAUGGAUAUUCAUUUUCAAUUUUCUCAGCUGAGAUGGUGAACCACUAUGUACCAGCGUGGACAGAGGAAAAGUUAGUAACUCACAGAUUUCAAGAAAAGAGAUUUCCAUCGAGUGUGUGGACAAUGCUGAAGGAUUUCCUGGUGUAAUCGUCUAUGACGAUAAAACAUUCCCCAUUUCUUCUCAGCGAGAUGCCAUAGCGCGGACUGCUUCUGGUGAUGGACAAGACUCUUACAGUCUUCAGGAGGAGGAGGAGGAGGAGGAGGAGGAGGAGGAGGGUGAAGAGGAUGACUGGAGGCAUCUACAGCCAUCAGGCAUCACUAUGACAAUAUUUUGUUGUAGAUUUGAUUUAUUUUUUCUCAUCAUAUGUUUUAUUGUUUGAAUAUUUGCUGCAACUAACGGUAACGGCCUUUCUGUGUGGAGUUUGCAUGUUCUCCCUGUGUCUGCAUGGGUUCUCUCUGGGUGCUCGGGCUUCCUCCCACCGUCCAAAGACAUGCGGACUAGGUUAAUUGGUGACCCUAAAUUGUCCUUA